AGCGAACGCUAGCGGCGGGCCUAACACAUGCAAGUCGAGCGCCCUUCGGGGAGCGGCGAACGGGUGAGGAACACGUAGGUAAUCUACCCUUUGGUGGGGAAUAACCCGGGGAAACUCGGGCUAAUACCGCAUAUGGUCUACGGAUCAAAGCCUUCGGGCGCCAGGGGAUGAGCCUGCGUCCCAUUACCUAGUAGGUGGGGUAACGGCCCACCUAGGGAGCGAUGGGUAGCUGGUCUGAGAGGAUGAUCAGCCACACUGGGACUGAGACACGGCCCAGACUCCUACGGGAGGCAGCAGUGGGGAAUAUUGCGCAAUGGGCGAAAGCCUGACGCAGCCACGCCGCGUGUGUGAUGAAGGCUUUCGGGUCGUAAAGCACUGUUUGGAGGGAAGAAGAUCUGACGGUACCUCCCAAGAAAGCACCGGCUAACUCCG
rnacentral:rRNA from 1 species